AUAUAUAUCAAUGCUACGCUGCGGACUAAAUGUUGCGGACCACUGCGGACAGCUCUCGUGGUAAACUCUGUGUCACAGCGAGUUAAUUUUCUUCUGGUAUUACACAUUUAUCCCUAGCAACCCUCUUCCUCCCCCGACGCAGCCCCAACUCGCCGCAGAUCCCGACGCGGGGCACUAUUCGCCUCAGAGAGAGCCCUCCUCUUCCUCCUCCUCCCUCCCUGUUCCCUAGCUAGCGCCUCUUCCUUCCUCUCUGUGCCCUAGCUCGGCGCUCUCUUCUUCCUCCCGACGCCGCCCCAACCGCAGAUCCUCUUCCUCCCGACGCUAGGGCACUACUCGCCGUAGAGAAUCCCUCCUCUUCCUCCUCCCGACAUUACUCGUGCCGCAGAAAAGCCCUCCUCUUCCUACUCCCGACGCUGCCCCCCUGCAGAAGUCCUCCUCUUCUUUGAUCUGAAGUGCAGAAUCACAGCAAGGAGUGGAACCUCUCACAGGCGCAGCAUAUCUCGCGGUCCUCCUCUUUGAAGCUGUCCUCACUAGCUCGUGUAACACCUCGCUGUCCUCGUCCCUUCAUUGCCAGUAUAUACAGAAAGUUACAAAACAACGUUUCCUUUUAUCAACGAAUGGGGAAAACAUAUGUUGUAUUUGUUGGAUAUAAUCCGGGUAUUUAUGAAACAUGGUUAGAAGCAUCAAGUCAAGUUAUUGGCUUUAAAGGCGCCAUACAUCAAUCAUACAAAAGUAGAAUGGAGGCACAAAAAGCUUUUCAAGCGUACUUGGAUAAAAAAUUUGCACCAAUUUCCAUUUCAUCAUGUGCAACUUCAACUUCGGGAUCAAAUUCAAAUUUAGACAAACAACUUUUGAGUUCUGAAGAAAAAACUAAGUUGAAGGAUACAUUAAAAAAAAAUAGAGCAGCUUUUCAAUUCCUAGUUGUUGUUAUUGUUGGUGUUAUUUUUUUUUUUUUUUAAUCUGAGUUCAAGUUGAACAAUGGUGUUGCAAGUGGUGUAUCAAAUUUAAAACAUAUGUUAUGUUAUCUUAAUAUGUUGUGAAACAUAUGUUGUUGUUGUAUGCUUCA